GAGGAGGUAGCCAACACUGUUUUUAAUAUAUAUAUAUAUAUAUAUAUAUAUAUAUAUUUUUUUUUUAUUGUGGUAGCCCCCAAAAUAUUGGGACAUAUAAAAAAAAGACAACUCUGUUCCGCAGAGUAGCUGUUGAUAUAAUAGUUGCGCAGGCACUUUGUUGACUCUAGAGAACCUCGGGCCAAUUGCACAUCCCCGUGACAGCGACUUUGCAUUCGGAUGUAAUCCUUAUCAACUUUCGAUGCCAGUUUCUGCGCCUACCAUGGUGACCACAGGUAAUGGGGAAUCAGGGUUCCAUUCCGUAGAGGGACCCUGAGAAAUGGCUACCACAUGCAAGGAAGGCAGCAGGCGCGCAAAUGACCCACUCCCGACGCGGGAAGGUAGUGAC